AUUGAACGCUGGCGGCAGGCCUAACACAUGCAAGUCGAGCGGAUGAAGGGAGCUUGCUCCUGGAUUCAGCGGCGGACGGGUGAGUAAUGCCUAGGAAUCUGCCUGGUCGUGGGGGAUAACGUCCGGAAACGGGCGCUAAUACCGCAUACGUCCUGAGGGAGCAAGUGGGGGAUCUUCGGACGUCACGCUAACAGAUGAGCCUAGGUCGGAUUAGCUAGUUGGUGGGGUAAAGGCCUACCAAGGCGACGAUCCUUAACUGGUCUGAGAGGAUGAUCAGUCACACUGGAACUGAGGCACGGUCCAGACUCCUACGGGGGGCAGCAGUGGAGAAUAUUAGGCGAUGGGCGAAUGCCUGAUCCAGCCAUGCCGCGUGUGUGAAGAAGGUCUUCGGAUUGUAAAGCACUUUAAGUUGGGAGGAAGGACAGUAAGUUAAUACCUUACUAUAUUGACGUUACCAACAGAAUAAGCUCCGGCUAACUUCGUG
rnacentral:rRNA from 1 species